rnacentral:rRNA from 1 species
UUCGGGAAGUGGUUGAGCCGCAAACGGUGUUGGCGAUGAUCAGUAUGGGGAUCGGGAUUACGUUGAUGGCUGAUGGCUAUGCGCAAAUGAGCUGGCCGGGUGUGGUGUUUCGUCCGUUAGAGGAACGUAUUCCGGCGGAUUUGUAUAUUGUGUAUGACCAGCAGCAGGCAACGCCAGCGCUGGAGAAACUGGUGGCGGCGUUGACGGUAUGAUGUCUGUGCCGGAUUGGUGAGGUAACGGCUCACCAAGGCGACGAUCCCUAGCUGGUCUGAGAGGAUGACCAGCCACACUGGAACUGAGACACGGACCAGACUCCUACGGGAGGCAGCAGUGGGGAAUAUUGCACAAUGGG